rnacentral:tRNA from 1 species
AUAACUUUAAGUUAAAGAAACUAUAAACCUUCAAAGUUUAAAAUAAUAUAUUUCAUGUUAAGUUAUG